GAUGAACGCUGGCGGCGUGCCUAAUACAUGCAAGUCGAGCGAACAGACGAGGAGCUUGCUCCUCUGACGUUAGCGGCGGACGGGUGAGUAACACGUGGAUAACCUCCCUAUAAUACGGGGAUCACUUCGGGAAACCGGAGCUAAUACCGGAUAAUAUAUUGAACCGCAUGGUUCAAUAGUGAAAGACGGUUUUGCUGUCACUUAUAGAUGGAUCCGCGCCGCAUUAGCUAGUUGGUAAGGUAACGGAUUACCAAGGCAACGAUGCGUAGCCGACCUGAGAGGGUGAUCGGCCACACUGGAACUGAGACCCGGUCCAGACUCCUACGGGAGGCAGCAGUAGGGAAUCUGCCGCAAUGGGCGAAAGCCUGACGGAGCAACGCCGCGUGAGUGAUGAAGGUCUUCGGAUCGUAAAACUCUGUUAUUAGGGAAGAACAAAUGUGUAAGUAACUAUGCACGUCUUGACGGUACCUAAUCAGAAAGCCACGGCUAACUACGUG
rnacentral:rRNA from 1 species